CGUACACUCCUACGGGAGGCAGCAGUGGGGAAUAUUGGACAAUGGGCGCAAGCCUGAUCCAGCCAUGCCGCGUGAGUGAUGAAGGCCCUAGGGUUGUAAAGCUCUUUCACCGGUGAAGAUAAUGACGGUAACCGGAGAAGAAGCCCCGGCUAACUUCGUGCCAGCAGCCGCGGUAAUACGAAGGGGGCUAGCGUUGUUCGGAUUUACUGGGCGUAAAGCGCACGUAGGCGGACUAUUAAGUCAGGGGUGAAAUCCCGGGGCUCAACCCCGGAACUGCCUUUGAUACUGGUAGUCUUGAGUUCGAGAGAGGUGAGUGGAAUUCCGAGUGUAGAGGUGAAAUUCGUAGAUAUUCGGAGGAACACCAGUGGCGAAGGCGGCUCACUGGCUCGAUACUGACGCUCAGGUGCGAAAGCGUGGGGAGCAAACAGGAUUAGAUACCCCUGUAGUCCCAU
rnacentral:rRNA from 1 species